rnacentral:rRNA from 1 species
ACGAACGCUGGCGGCGUGCUUAACACAUGCAAGUCGAACGGUGACCCUGGAGCUUGCUCCGGGCGAUCAGUGGCGAACGGGUGAGUAACACGUGAGUAACCUGCCCCAGACUCUGGGAUAACCUCGGGAAACCGGGGCUAAUACCGGAUAUGAGAAGCUUCCGCAUGGAAUGCUUCUGGAAAGAUUUAUCGGUCUGGGAUGGACUCGCGGCCUAUCAGCUAGUUGGUGAGGUAAUGGCUCACCAAGGCGACGACGGGUAGCCGGCCUGAGAGGGCGACCGGCCACACUGGAACUGAGACACGGUCCAGACUCCUACGGGAGGCAGCAGUGGGGAAUAUUGCACAAUGGGCGCAAGCCUGAUGCAGCGACGCCGCGUGGGGGAUGAAGGCCUUCGGGUUGUAAACCCCUUUCAGCAGGGAAGAAGCGAAAGUGACGGUACCUGCAGAAGAAGCGCCGGCUAACUACGU